UUGUGUGUGGCUGCCUCAUCCAGGCUCCUCAUGACCACUUGGUGGACCACCCCCUGCUUUGAAAAAGCUCUCAACGUGUGCAGAAUGAAUUUAGUACAAUGCAUGACCAAACCUUGAAUGCCAAGAACCUGAGAGUCAGGUGAUAUUAAUCAGGGUUCUCCAGAACCAAUAGAAGAGAGGUAGCUAGGUAGACUUAUUAUAAGCAACUGAUUAUUUAUAUAGAAGCCAGGAAGUCCCACCAUGUGCCACCUAUCAGCUAAAGAACCAGGAAAGUCAGUGGCAUAAUUUAUUUUGAGUCUAAAGGCCCAAGAACCAGGAGUGCUGAUGUCCAAGAAUAGGAGAAAAUAAAUGGAGAAAAGAAGGAGAGAAUACAUUCAUUCUUCCUCAACCUUUUUGCUUUAUUCUGGCCCCCAACAAUUGGAUGACACCCACCCACAUCGAAGACUAACUUGCUACGGUUCAGCUGACCUGUAAGGGCCUAGAAUCACCAAAUCCUAGAGUUGCAGGGACUUCAAAAUCCAUGCCAGAGAUUGUCUCCUGUGUUACUACUGUGUUGUCAGAGGCUACCUGGUAACACCCAGCUGGAACCUGCCCGAGUCUAGCACCUCACUGAGCUCGUGUUAUACAGCCCUCUCACUAUGAGGCCUGGACAGGCAGGCCCAUGCACAGAAAAAAGUGAGCAAAUACAGAUAAGCACAAAGAAGCUAAGAUUGCCCACCACGCAGAGCUCAGAGAUAGCUGCUAUUAACAUCCCUCCGCAUCUUUUUCUUUUCAAGUUUAUACAGUAAUAAUGAUGA